GUGCUCACUUCGGCAGCACGUAUACUAAAAUUGGAAUGAUAACAGAGAUGAUUAGCUCGGCCCCUGCAUAAGUAUGACCCGCAAAUUCGAGAAGUGUUCCAUAUUUUU
ensembl:snRNA U6 U6 spliceosomal RNA